AGCGACUAAGCGUACACGGUGGAUGCCCUGGCAGUCAGAGGCGAUGAAGGGCGUGCUAAUCUGCGAUAAGCGCCGGUAAGGUGAUAUGAACCGUUAUAACCGGCGAUACCCGAAUGGGGAAACCCAGUGUGACUCGUCACACUAUCAUUAACUGAAUCCAUAGGUUAAUGAGGCGAACCGGGGGAACUGAAACAUCUAAGUACCCCGAGGAAAAGAAAUCAACCGAGAUUCCCCCAGUAGCGGCGAGCGAACGGGGAGGAGCCCAGAGCCUGAAUCAGCAUGUGUGUUAGUGGAAGCGUCUGGAAAGGCGCGCGAUACAGGGUGACAGCCCCGUACACAAAAGCGCAUGUGCUGUGAGCUCGAUGAGUAGGGCGGGACACGUGGUAUCCUGUCUGAAUAUGGGGGGACCAUCCUCCAAGGCUAAAUACUCCUGACUGACCGAUAGUGAACCAGUACCGUGAGGGAAAGGCGAAAAGAACCCCGGCGAGGGGAGUGAAAAAGAACCUGAAACCGUGUACGUACAAGCAGUGGGAGCACCCUUUGGGUGUGACUGCGUACCUUUUGUAUAAUGGGUCAGCGACUUAUAUUCUGUAGCAAGGUUAACCGAAUAGGGGAGCCGGAGGGAAACCGAGUCUUAAUUGGGCGUUAAGUUGCAGGGUAUAGACCCGAAACCCGGUGAUCUAGCCAUGGGCAGGUUGAAGGUUGGGUAACACUAACUGGAGGACCGAACCGACUAAUGUUGAAAAAUUAGCGGAUGACCUGUGGCUGGGGGUGAAAGGCCAAUCAAACCGGGAGAUAGCUGGUUCUCCCCGAAAGCUAUUUAGGUAGCGCCUCGUGAAUUCAUCUCCGGGGGUAGAGCACUGUUUCGGCUAGGGGGCCAUCCCGGCUUACCAACCCGAUGCAAACUGCGAAUACCGGAGAAUGUUAUCACGGGAGACACACGGCGGGUGCUAACGUCCGUCGUGAAGAGGGAAACAACCCAGACCGCCAGCUAAGGUCCCAAAGUCAUGGUUAAGUGGGAAACGAUGUGGGAAGGCCCAGACAGCCAGGAUGUUGGCUUAGAAGCAGCCAUCAUUUAAAGAAAGCGUAAUAGCUCACUGGUCGAGUCGGCCUGCGCGGAAGAUGUAACGGGGCUAAACCAUGCACCGAAGCUGCGGCAGCGACACUGUGUGUUGUUGGGUAGGGGAGCGUUCUGUAAGCCUGUGAAGGUGUGUCGUGAGGCAUGCUGGAGGUAUCAGAAGUGCGAAUGCUGACAUAAGUAACGAUAAAGCGGGUGAAAAGCCCGCUCGCCGGAAGACCAAGGGUUCCUGUCCAACGUUAAUCGGGGCAGGGUGAGUCGACCCCUAAGGCGAGGCCGAAAGGCGUAGUCGAUGGGAAACGGGUUAAUAUUCCCGUACUUGGUGUUACUGCGAAGGGGGGACGGAGAAGGCUAUGUUGGCCGGGCGACGGUUGUCCCGGUUUAAGCGUGUAGGUGUGUGUUCCAGGUAAAUCCGGUUCACUUUAACACUGAGGCGUGACGACGAGGCACUACGGUGCUGAAGCAACAAAUGCCCUGCUUCCAGGAAAAGCCUCUAAGCAUCAGGUAACAUCAAAUCGUACCCCAAACCGACACAGGUGGUCAGGUAGAGAAUACCAAGGCGCUUGAGAGAACUCGGGUGAAGGAACUAGGCAAAAUGGUGCCGUAACUUCGGGAGAAGGCACGCUGACACGUAGGUGAAGUGAUUUACUCAUGGAGCUGAAGUCAGUCGAAGAUACCAGCUGGCUGCAACUGUUUAUUAAAAACACAGCACUGUGCAAACACGAAAGUGGACGUAUACGGUGUGACGCCUGCCCGGUGCCGGAAGGUUAAUUGAUGGGGUCAGCGCAAGCGAAGCUCCUGAUCGAAGCCCCGGUAAACGGCGGCCGUAACUAUAACGGUCCUAAGGUAGCGAAAUUCCUUGUCGGGUAAGUUCCGACCUGCACGAAUGGCGUAAUGAUGGCCAGGCUGUCUCCACCCGAGACUCAGUGAAAUUGAACUCGCUGUGAAGAUGCAGUGUACCCGCGGCAAGACGGAAAGACCCCGUGAACCUUUACUAUAGCUUGACACUGAACAUUGAGCCUUGAUGUGUAGGAUAGGUGGGAGGCUUUGAAGUGUGGACGCCAGUCUGCAUGGAGCCGACCUUGAAAUACCACCCUUUAAUGUUUGAUGUUCUAACGUGGACCCGUUACCCGGGUUGCGGACAGUGUCUGGUGGGUAGUUUGACUGGGGCGGUCUCCUCCUAAAGAGUAACGGAGGAGCACGAAGGUUGGCUAAUCCUGGUCGGACAUCAGGAGGUUAGUGCAAUGGCAUAAGCCAGCUUGACUGCGAGCGUGACGGCGCGAGCAGGUGCGAAAGCAGGUCAUAGUGAUCCGGUGGUUCUGAAUGGAAGGGCCAUCGCUCAACGGAUAAAAGGUACUCCGGGGAUAACAGGCUGAUACCGCCCAAGAGUUCAUAUCGACGGCGGUGUUUGGCACCUCGAUGUCGGCUCAUCACAUCCUGGGGCUGAAGUAGGUCCCAAGGGUAUGGCUGUUCGCCAUUUAAAGUGGUACGCGAGCUGGGUUUAGAACGUCGUGAGACAGUUCGGUCCCUAUCUGCCGUGGGCGCUGGAGAACUGAGGGGGGCUGCUCCUAGUACGAGAGGACCGGAGUGGACGCAUCACUGGUGUUCGGGUUGUCAUGCCAAUGGCACUGCCCGGUAGCUAAAUGCGGAAGAGAUAAGUGCUGAAAGCAUCUAAGCACGAAACUUGCCCCGA
rnacentral:rRNA from 2 species